rnacentral:rRNA from 1 species
CAUGGUAUGUACUGGCUUUACUGAUUCCUCCUUCUUGAAGAACUGUAAUGUCAUUAAUUUGGUGUUGCAGGGAAACAGGACUGUUACUUUGAAAAAAUUAGAGUCGUUUAAAGCAGGCUAACGCUUGAAUACAUUAGCAUGGAAUAAUGAAAUAGGACGUUUGAUCCUAUUUUGUUGGUUUCUAGGAUAGACGUAAUGAUUAAUAGGGAUAGUUGGGGGCAUUAGUAUUCAAUUGUCAGAGGUGAAAUUCUUGGAUUUAUUGAAGACUGACUACUGCGAAAGCAUUUGCCAAGGAUGUUUUCAUUAAUCAAGAACGAAAGUUAGGGGAUCGAAGACGAUCAGAUACCGUCGUAGUCUUAACCAUAAACUAUGCCGACUAGGGAUCGGAUGAUGUUAAUUUUUUAAUGACUCAUUCGGCGCCUUACG